rnacentral:rRNA from 1 species
CACGGGGGGAGCAAGCGUUGUUCGGAAUCACUGGGCGUAAAGGGCGUGUAGGCGGUCAGGUAAGUGGAAUGUGAAAGCCCUCGGCUCACCCGAGGAUCUGCAUUCCAAACUGCCUGGCUUGAGUAUGGGAGAGGAUGUGGGAAUUCCUGGUGUAGCGGUGAAAUGCGUAGAUAUCAGGAGGAACACCAAUAGCGAAGGCAGCUCGCUGGGACGUUACUGACACUGAGGCGCGAAAGCGUGGGGAGCGAACAGG